rnacentral:rRNA from 1 species
GAUGAACGCUGGCGGCGUGCUUAACACAUGCAAGUCGAACGAGAAGUGGAGACGGAAACCUUCGGGCGGAAGACUUUAUUUCGAGUGGCGGACGGGUGAGUAACACGUGGGUAACCUGCCUCAUACAGGGGGAUAACAGUUGGAAACGACUGUUAAUACCGCAUAAGACCACAGCACCGCAUGGUGCGGUGGUAAAAACUCCGGUGGUAUGAGAUGGACCCGCGUUCGAUUAGCCAGUUGGCGGGGUAACGGCCCACCAAAGCGACGAUCGAUAGCCGAUCUGAGAGGAUGACCGGCCACAUUGGGACUGAGACACGGCCCAAACUCCUACGGGAGGCAGCAGUGGGGAAUAUUGCACAAUGGGGGAAACCCUGAUGCAGCGACGCCGCGUGAGUGAAGAAGUAUUUCGGUAUGUAAAGCUCUAUCAGCAGGGAAGAAAAUGACGGUACCUGAGUAAGAAGCCCCGGCUAACUACGUG